UCAGUGCCUAGGGGCGAAAGCAAAGCCAUUUGCACAUUUUGGUGUCCCUUCCCAUGGCAGGGGGUUGGAUCUGGAUGAUCUUUAAGGUCCCUUCUGACCACAACCAUUCUGUGAUUUCCUCCUCUGCACUUUGGAUUUACAGCUGUGCUUGUGCUGAAGGCACUGAUGGGGAGCUCAGCCUUCCUUCUCUCCACAGCCAUGGUGGGGAACCAGCAUCUCUGCUGUCAGCAGAGUUCUCACCAAGCAGCAGGACGGGCAGGAUGGAGCUCAAAGUCAAAUAUGCAGCACAGAAGUUGAAGAUGGUGUUGGUCCAUGCCCAGCAGGGAGGAUCUUGGUCUCCUGAAGCCACUACAAGAUGCUCAACUCCCCGUGGCUGCAGGACAAAGGGCCGUUCAUCACACUCCAAAGUGCUGCAAAAGGCUCCCGUGUUCCACCGGAGAAGUGUCUGCAUUUGAAUCCAAGCGAGAAAGUUUUCUUCUGUGCUCCAGGCCGCUCUGGAGGGUAAUGGAGCUUGGCACUGCUUUUUAGGAUCCUUUUGGGUGAGAUAGAGGGGCAAGGACCUUGUCACGAGCUGCUCAGGCUCCAGCAAAUCUGGGAAAGAAAUUUGUGAAGCUGGAUCCAGGGCAAUAGUACCUUUGGUGGCUAAACCAAGCUGGUUUUCUAUUGAUUUAAAGCAAGUCAUCCUAAUUACAGCCUGUCCCUCCUGAAUUUCUCCAGCCCUUGCAGUGAAGAUCUACUUCAUUCACCAUUUCCAAACUUCAAGUUUUGGGUACCAUUAUCUGUCAUUUCUGCUUCUAAAAGGACUCUGCAGACUGGGAGUUUGGGAGCAUUCUCCAGCCCCCUAUAGAUUUUGUUAUGUAUUAUCCCUUCCAUAAAAGAAUCAAGGUGGUGGUCAGGCCCUGAAAUGCUUGACUAUUUACUGAAGGAAAUUAAAAACUGCAGCAAAUAAGAUUUGAUGUCUUAGGGGCUGGAAAAAAAGAGGGAAGGGUGUGUGUCCAUGUGUUCCACAUGUACAGGUUCAUGUUUCCUACAAGGUGAAGGAAAGCCCCAUUUGUAGCAUGUGCCUGUGGUUAUUGUAUUUGCUUCAAACUUACCACAUGAGGCCUAAAUGAGGUUGUCAAUAAAAUAUUCUAUGGUGGGCAUGUAAGGCAGCAGUGAUUUGUGUUUUACGAAAUGAUCCGAGGAGCAGAGAGGAGGUAGGUUUUGUCCAUCUGGCACACCCUGAUGAACGGUGGAGAGGCUGCUUUGCCCCAGUUUUCAGAGGGAAAUGCUUGAAGAUGCCCUUGAAGAUGCUCUGCUCCUGUCCUGGUACCCAGGUGCUAAAGGUCAGGAGAGACACUGGUAGGGGCUCAGCUCCUUGAAAAAUUAUCUUGCUUAUUUAUGUGAUGGCAAGGGAGAAGUUUGUGUUUAGAGGCCAGUGAAUUAAUAAAUUAGAAAACAAAAAAUCAAA